rnacentral:rRNA from 1 species
CCUACGGGAGGCAGCAGUGAGGAAUAUUCGUCAAUGGACGAGAGUCUGAACCAGCCAAGUAGCGUGAAGGAUGACUGCCCUAUGGGUUGUAAACUUCUUUUAUAUGGGAAUAAAAUGUUCCACGUGUGGGAUUUUGUAUGUACCAUAUCAAUAAGGAUCGGCUAACUCCGUGCCAGCAGCCGCGGUAAUACGGAGGAUCCGAGCGUUAUCCGGAUGUAUUGGGUUUAAAGGGAGCGUAGGUGGAUGGUUAAGUCAUUUGUGAAAGUUUGCGGCUCAACCGUAAAAUUGCAGUUGAAACUGGCAGUCUUGAGUACAGUAGAGGUGGGCGGAAUUCGUGGUGUAGCGGUGAAAUGCUUAGAGAUCACGAAGAACUCCGAUUGCGAAGGCAGCUCACUGGACUGCAACUGACACUGAGGCUCGAAAGUGUGGGUAUCAAACAGGAUUAGAUACCCCAGUAGUC